UACGGAGGGUGCGAGCGUUGUCCGGAAUCACUGGGCGUAAAGGGCGCGUAGGCGGCGCGGGCAGUCAACGGUGAAAGCUUGGGGCUCAACCCCGAGUCGGCCGUCGAUACUCCCGUGCUUGAGCACUGUAGAGGCAGGUGGAAUUCCUGGUGUAGCGGUGGAAUGCGCAGAUAUCAGGAGGAACACCGGUGGCGAAGGCGGGUCUCUGGGCAGUAACUGACGCUGAGGAGCGAAAGCGUGGGGAGCGAACAGG
rnacentral:rRNA from 1 species